rnacentral:misc_RNA from 1 species
GAUGAAGAACGCAGCGAAAUGCGAUAAGUAAUGUGAAUUGCAGAAUCCAGUGAAUCAUCGAAUCUUUGAACGCACAUUGCGCCCGCCAGCAUUCUGGCGGGCAUGCCUGUUCGAGCGUCAUUUCAACCCUCGACCUCCCCUUGGGGAGGUCGGCGUUGGGGACCGGCAGCACACCGCCGGCCCUGAAAUGGAGUGGCGGCCCGUCUGCGGCGACCUCUGCGUAGUAAUACAGCUCGCACCGGAACCCCGACGCGGCCACGCCGUAAAACACCCAACAUCUGAACGUUGACCUCGAAUCAGGUAGGACUACCCGCUGAACUUAAGCAUAUCAAUAAGCGGAGGA